UCUGCUGCAGUCAUCUUCUAAGGAAAUAUACAUAUGUUUUUUCAUUCCAAAUUUCAUGGCCCCAUGCUCAUCGGUUCAGUUCUUAUAGGCCUGGUGUGAUGUGGUGCCAUCUAGUGGUGUAGCAUGGCUGACUUUGAAGCAAAUAAUAAUUAUCAAAUUCAUUAGAGGCUAUUGCAUUGAGUCUGUAUACCAAAUAUGCAGUCAAUCUGACUUAUUGUCUCUGAGAAAAAUUGUCACGAAUCCCGUUUCCUGAGUCUGUUUUUUGCCUGUGUUCUGUCCUGGAGUGUUUUUUCCGGCGUCCUGGAACGCACCCUGUCUGGUUGCCGGGCAAUGUAGCCAGUUGGGAGUUCUGAUUACCAACACCUGUAUCCCAUCAGCUAUCUGCACACCUGGUCCUGAUCAUCAUCUCUCCUCUUCAUAAGCCCGGUCCUGAUCAUCAUCUCUCCUCUUCAUAAGCCCGGACCUGACAUCCAUUCCCUGCCAGAUCGUUAGCCAUGAACAUUACUCACCCGGAUCAUUUACCCCAUUCCCGCCUGGUCGUCGGAGGAUUCCGCUACCCCAUUGGAUCCACCUAUUUACUCCCAUCAACUCACCACCGCUGCCCGCUACGCCACCUGGAUAUAUCUACCCAUUCACAUUCACUUGUAAAUAAAUACUCACCUUCUUCCUA